rnacentral:misc_RNA from 1 species
CCACAAUCCAGUGUCAAGAAAGAAGUCAACUUUUCUUCCCCUAUUUCCCUGCAUUUCUCCUCUGUGCUCACUGCCACACGCAGCUCAACCUGAGCUACACAGCCAGAUGCGAGAUGCUUCUCUGCUGAUCUGAGUCUGCCUGCAGCAUGGACCUUGGUCUUCCCUGAAGCAUCUCCAGGGCUGGAGGGACGACUGCCAUGGGCUGAGUCUGGGCCCCCGGACCCACGUGCAGGCAGGGACCCUCCCCAAGCCCACACUCUGGGCUGAGCCAGGCUCUGUGAUCACCCAGGGGAGUCCCGUGACCCUCUGGUGUCAGGGGAUCCUGGAGACCCAGGAGUACCGUCUGUAUAGAGAAAAGAAAACAGCACCCUGGAUUACACGGAUCCCACAGGAGAUUGUGAAGAAGGGCCAGUUCCCCAUCCCAUCCAUCACCUGGGAACACACAGGGCGGUAUCGCUGUUUCUACGGUAGCCACACUGCAGGCUGGUCAGAGCCCAGUGACCCCCUGGAGCUGGUGGUGACAGGAGCCUACAUCAAACCCACCCUCUCAGCUCUACCCAGCCCUGUGGUGACCUCAGGAGGGAACGUGACCCUCCAUUGUGUCUCACAGGUGGCAUUUGGCAGCUUCAUUCUGUGUAAGGAAGGAGAAGAUGAACACCCACAAUGCCUGAACUCACAGCCCCGUACCCAUGGGUGGUCCCGGGCCAUCUUCUCUGUGGGCCCCGUGAGCCCGAGUCGCAGGUGGUCGUACAGGUGCUAUGCUUAUGACUCGAACUCUCCCCAUGUGUGGUCUCUACCCAGUGAUCUCCUGGAGCUCCUGGUCCUAGGAGGGAGAACGUGACUUCCUCCAGCUCCCUGGCCCACAGCCCCAGGCUGGGCUCUCCCAGGCCAACUUCACCCUGGGCCCUGUGAGCCGCUCCUACGGGGGCCAGUACAGAUGCUCCGGUGCAUACAACCUCUCCUCCGAGUGGUCGGCCCCCAGCGACCCCCUGGACAUCCUGAUCGCAGGACAGUUCCGUGGCAGACCCUUCAUCUCGGUGCAUCCGGGCCCCACGGUGGCCUCAGGAGAGAACGUGACCCUGCUGUGUCAGUCAUGGGGGCCGUUCCACACUUUCCUUCUGACCAAGGCGGGAGCAGCUGAUGCCCCCCUCCGUCUCAGAUCAAUACACGAAUAUCCUAAGUACCAGGCUGAAUUCCCUAUGAGUCCUGUGACCUCAGCCCACUCGGGGACCUACAGGUGCUACGGCUCACUCAGCUCCAACCCCUACCUGCUGUCUCACCCCAGUGACUCCCUGGAGCUCAUGGUCUCAGGAGCAGCUGAGACCCUCAGCCCACCACAAAACAAGUCCGAUUCCAAGGCUGGAGCAGCUAACACCCUCAGCCCAUCACAAAACAAGACUGCCUCACACCCCCAGGAUUACACAGUGGAGAAUCUCAUCCGCAUGGGCAUAGCUGGCUUGGUCCUGGUGGUCCUCGGGAUUCUGCUAUUUGAGGCUCAGCACAGCCAGAGAAGCCUCUGAGAUGCAGCCGGGAGGUGAACAGCAGAGAGAAGAAUGUACCCUUCAGAGUGGUGGAGCCUUGGGAACAGAUCUGAUGAUGCCAGGAGGUUCCGGGAGACAAUUUAGGGCUGAUGCUAUCUGGACUGUCUGCCAAUCAUUUUUAGAGGGAGGAAUCAGUGUUGGAUUGCAGAGACAUUUUCUGGAGUGAUCCAUGAAGGACCAUUAACCUGUGAUACCUUUCCUCUCUAUUAAUGUUGACUUCCCUUGGUUGGAUCCUCU